UCUAUUUUUCAUGAUUUCUCCACUGUUCUCUUGCUGAGAUGUUUGUACUGUUUCUUGCUUUUAGAAACCAGUGCUAAAAAAAAAAAAAAAAAAAAAAAAAAAGAGGUCUUGUGAUAUAUAACCACAAGAACUUGGCAAUAUUUCAUUUUUCCUUCAAAAUUAGCUUUUCAUAUACAGGUUUUCUCGGAUUUCUUUUCCUUGAGGAAGGACUCUGGAGCUUUGUUUUUGCCGGGCAUAAUAGAAGAUAAAAGAAGAGAGAAACACUGGGCCACUGCUGUGACUGGGGAACUUAGUCCUUCCCUUGGUCUAUCAAGUGAGUCAGUGAUGGAUGGAUGGAUGAAGGAGCUUACUCUUGUGACCAGAUGGAGGCAGGUUGGUGCUGGGGUGUGUUAUCUUGAAUGGUCUCCUAUGUGAAGACCCAGGGAACAUAACUGGAGGGGAGCACUCAGAAAAGAGAAGCUGCAUUGGAGAACUGGCCUGGCCAAAACACCAAGGACUUGUUCAUAGCCUAAAAAAGGGAGAGGAGGAGUCUGGUUUUGGAGGUGUCACUCUUUGUGGAAAACAGACUUAGAUAACCGGAUCUUUCAAGACAUUCCCCCCUGAAAGGAGGAAUUGUUAUUUGAGCAACGCCUAGAGUUGUCAGUUUCCUGUGGGUGAAAAACGAUAAACAGACUCUCAAGGGAUGCAUCUUGGCAGAGCUAGAAAGGUGCACUUUCCAUAUUGCCAAUCUCCAAGUGAAUUGCUCUAUCAGGGCUUGGUGGAUCUUGGGAGGAGUACAGAUGUGGCAAUUUCAGUUCGAUGAAGCCAAAGGACCCUACUCUGUUGAUGAAAUAUUACUCCUUUUCUUCUUGGCAUCUCUCCGGUCAUUUUCAUCGUGACUUGUACUCAAAGCAGGGAUGUUUCUGUGCCUGGAUGGGACUGGUGGCUAUUAUAGACAGAAGCUGUCGCCUGUAUAGAUACAGAUGUGCACAAUGCAGGCGCUGAACGUGAGUGCUCAGGAUUCAGGCACUGACACCAGUUGGGAGUUGGAGCUGCCAAAAGAGUUUCAGAUUUGAGCAGCUGGAAGGGGCCAGUCAAAAAGUCACUGCUGUCAACUGCCCAUGGAAAAAUGCCUGCUCCCAUCAGAGCAUCCCUGCCGCUGCUGGUCAUAGCCAGCUGACACCAAAGACGCCGUCUCUGAAAAGGGUAAAAAUAUUGCACAGGGCUCUGGGGAAUCUCGUCACUCUCCUGACAUGCUAUCUUUGAGUCCCGCAUUAAAAAAAAGUGGUAGAGAGAAAAAUCUGCGGAGUCACUGUUUGUGUGGUACGUUUUUUGUUGAUGGAUGGGUUUGGUUACUUGGGCUAUUAAUCUAGUAUUUUUUUAGGAAAAUAAAAUUAAUUUGGGGGUGAUGUGGGGCAUAAACUACAUAAAUAAAAUGAGUAUAAUUGGAUAUUGCUCUGGUUACACUGAUUCAAAGGCAGUA